AGGGCGCCCCUUGGUUGCCGCCGGGGUGGAAUUCUAGCCUCCGUUUGCGGAGCCGCACUUGCUCCCUAUCUGGCCCCCGAGCAACAGGCUCUGAGGCCCGGGGUUCCAGGGCGCUGGUGCGCCUACUGCCUGUCGUGCUUGCGUGCAUCUGGGGUCGGCCUGCGCGUGGGUCCGGUGCAUCCCGCUAGUGCGUGCUCUGCACCCUGACAAAGCUCUGGAAUUGCAGUAAAAUCACUAUUGGGCCAGGUGUUCAAAAAGGACUUUUUUGUUUUGGGAUUUUGCUUUUAGUAAAACCUGCAGGAAGUUGAGUGUAGUAGUAUUACCUAAAAAGGGAAGGAGGAUCCUAGUAUAAAAUCCAUAAAUAUAUUAAAUUUUAAUUAGUUCCAUAUCCAAGAGAUCGUCAUAACCUCCUUACCCUUUAUUUUAUAUACUGAGAUCCACACUAAGAAGUCAUGAAAACAUUUUUAAUUUAUUGCUGAUUUCAUCUUUAAGUUAGGAUAUAAGGUUUUCUGUCGUUUCUGGUGAGCUGCCUAAAUGGCAAGAAAGGAAUACGUUAAAUUAGAAGUAGUUUGCUUCUUCCCUCAUCGUGUGCUCUUCCUCCAGCACCCAACAGAAGAGGGCCUUACAUGGAGGCCUUUUAUGUGAACUGCUUUCAGAUCCUGAAGGGAGAGAUCUGGAGAGGUUUGACCAGAGAGAUAAGUGAUUAUUCCCAAGCCUCAGGAAAAAAUAUAAUAAAAUCUACUAAUAGCAUCUUAUCUCCGUUUGUGGUAUUUCCUCAGCCUCCUGCAGGUAGCAUUAGCUAAUCAGAGCGCUGUCCUACAUUAAUACUGAGUCAGGCGGUUAAUGCAUAUUUAUGAAGAACCCACUCUACUUGGCCCUGAUUCAGGGGCUGGGAUUAGAACAAAGAAAAUGUAUUCCCAGUGUUCAUGAAACAUGGCAGGGUAGAGCAGCACUCAGGAUAAUGUGUUUGUUUCAGUGAUGGUCAUGAUUUAUAUGUAUGGUCUUUUAAAAGUAAGAAAGGAGCAUACAGCCUUUUUGGGACUGUCGUCACUGGCCAUCUUUAUUCCUUCCAGGUCCGGGACCUCCCUGUAUAAAGUAGGCUUCCUCUGGCUUGAUGAACAUGAGUCUGAAGCAAAAUUAAAAGGGUGGUUCAUCAUAAAGAUGAUACAGUUCUUGAUGCCAACUGCUGGGUGAAUGUCAGGACUUUCAUGAACUGAACUGUGAAGUCGACAAACCUAUAUGUCAAUCGUAUGAUUCUUCUUCCAGGUUGGAAGACUAAUUCAGGGGCAAAGUUAAAAGAGAGAGAACCAUAAUUUGUGAAAGGUAAAAGAGUUCCUACCAAGUGAGUAUAUAUUUUACACAUGAGGAAAGUGAGAACUCCAAAAUAAUGUCCAAGGUCAUACAAAUAGUUAUUGGUGAGAGAUCAUGACUGAAAUCCAGUCUUAUGUGUAGGACUAUGAGUCCCAACUUCUGGCCUAUUGCUGUUUCAUGUAUUGCAUAUUAUCUCUCACUAAGGAUCCCAUCUCACGAGAUUGCAGAAUAGAGCACUGUGCGGUCUAGCUUUGUUAGGGGCAAUGUUCCCAACCUCCAGAUUCAUAGUCCUGCCUAAAGAGAGGGCCUGUGGGAACAUCUCCACUAUUAAGAAAUUCCAUGAAGCAUAGUAAUUGUCUCCAUUACACUUUUUUUUUAAGAUUGGCACCUGAGCUAACAACUGUUGCCAAUCUUCUUAUCUUCUUUUUUUUUUCUUCUUCUCCCCAAAGCCCCCCAGUACGUAGUUGUAUAUUCUAGUUGUGAGUGCCUCUGGUUGUGCUAUGUGGGAUGCCGCCUCAGCAUGGCCUGAUGAGUGGUGCCAUGUCUGCUCCUGGGAUCCAAACCAGCGAAACCCUGGGCCACCAAAGCGGAGGGUGCAAACUUAACCACUCAGCCACGGGGUCGGCCCCUCCAUUACUCUUUAAAAGACUUUUCUAUUAGAAGAACAGAAUGUGCAUUCAUAGAUCUUAGGAUUUAAGACAGCCAUUGGAAAGAUUUUCAAAUUUAGUUUUCAGAGUCCUUUCACUGGACUAUGAGGCAUGGUGGUAGUUUAAGAUGGGGGGUAAAUGUAGGGCAGAAGCUGGUCAAAGAAUAGACAAAGAUUUGGCUUCACCAAUAGAUGUUUUUCUUCCUUGUCCUUCGUCUAUCAGUUGUCAUGAUUCUUUUCUUCAUCCCUAUAAUUCUUUUAAAAUCUAACGUGCUUACUGUAGUCAGCCACUGAGGUCAGUGCUUUUAUAUGUGUUUUCUCAUUUAAUCUUAUGAAUUAAGUUAUGUUAUUCCCAUAUUAAUAAGAUAUGCAAAUCAAGAUUCAAGUGACCUUAAGUAGUUUGGUCAAGGGCCUCCUGGCCAGUAACCAAACUAGGAUUCUAACUUAAGUCUUUGGGUCUCCAGAGCCCAUACUCUUUACAACUUAUUAUAUAGUAUAUAGUAGGUAUGUAUGUAUGUAUGUAUUGUCACCAUUUACUUUGAUUACAUUAUUCUUAGUAUCAUCUUUUUAUUUAGUGUGUCAGGUUAAUAAUCUAUUAAUUUUUAAAGAAGAAAUACAUGAGAAAUUUUGAGGAAUGAUGCUAACUAUAUAGUCACUGGAUUUAUACCUAGAUAAAAAAAUAGAAAAGAGGUUAGAUGAUUUGUGCAUCUAAUGGGAUGGUUCAGCCCUUUCCUGUCCUAGUCUUUAUUAUUCCUGAGAUAUUUUGGGCAAAGUGGAGGAAGGAUGGCCAGGAAGAAUCUUUUAGGUUUGACUUUUUUUCAAAUUCCUCUAAUUGUAGCCUGCUUUUAAGAGAAGUCUACUUCUAACUAAGGUUAAAGAUUUGAUCUCUGGUGGAUUUUUACAUCUCAUGAGUUCAGUAGUCUUCUAGAAGUAUUGUAUAUACACGCGAAUAUGACAUAUAUUAUAUUAAUAUGCUUUAUAUAUACACACAUAUAUUUAAUUUUUAUGAGAAGGACUUUAUAUUUUUCCUGAUAAUAGAGUCAUUGUAAGGUUUAAUAUUAUUAAGGGAAAAGAAAUGACUAAAAUUCAGAGAAUUUGCUUUGUUUCUUGAAUAAAAGUUACAAAAUAGAUCA
rnacentral:lncRNA from 1 species